rnacentral:tRNA from 1 species
UAGGAUGUAACUCAGUGGUAAAGCACUUGCCUAGCAUGCAAGAGACCCUGGGUUUGAUCCCCAGUACUUCAG